rnacentral:hammerhead_ribozyme from 1 species
ACCCAGCUGACGAGUCCCGGAUAGGAUGAAACGUGCGUCCUGGAU